rnacentral:misc_RNA from 1 species
AUUCUUGUUGUCGUCACAGUCUUUCGACAACGUGCAUAGUUGCUGUCAGUGUAACGGUAACUGAAGUUUAUUAGUAGUAGCUUAUUGGUAGUGAAACAAGCUUUUUCUAAUUUUUUGAAA